AUGGUUAUUUCCCACUCCCACUCUCAGCCUCUACUAGACCACCGAACCGAGGAGCACAAUCACGGCGAUCACCUCUCGGGACCGCAGGGUAGCAGUAGUGAUGGCUCCUCGAGCCUGCCCAGGGGCGGCAAGCUGCGGACAAAAUCCUGCGAAGACAUGCUCGGCCGUAUACGACGAGGUGGCAUCGACGAAACCAAGGACUACUUCAAGCGCCGUGAGACGGAUCCAGCCUACGUGAGCUUUGAGGACAUGUUGGCCUCCAAGGAGUUCCGGGAGGGCAACAGCCGUCCGGCGCCGGAGGCUGGGAUCAGGCACCCGCUCGUGAGGACGGCGUCGCGGCUGUACACAUCUACGGCCCACCCGCGGCAGCGUCGCCGAUCUCCGGGUCCGCUAGGGACACGCCGUGGCGGCACCAUGCAUCGUUUUGUGAAGAAGUACGUCUGCCCUUGUUUGGACUUGGUCGCCAGAGCUUUCGGUUGCAUGCCAGGCGUGGCGGCUCACUGA
rnacentral:rRNA from 1 species